GCCGGGGUCACGUUGGUGCGCGCGUGUCCUGUAAUCCAAGUUACUUGGAGGCUGAUGAGACUGGUGGAUCGUCUUGAGCUCCAGGAUCUCUGAGCUACAGUGGGACUAUGUCGAUCGGUGUGUCCCAAUAGUUCCGGCGGUAUCGAUAUGGUGCUUCCUGGGAGGCCGGGACCACCAGGUCGUCUAAGGAGAGGGCACCGGCCCAGUUCGGGAAACGGAGGGCAGGCAAAGGCCCCCGCUGCCGCUCAGUAGGUGCGAAUCGCGCCUGUUGAAUUAUAGGGCUGUAGUGAAGCCUGGAGUAAUACAGCGGGACCCAGUUCUUU
rnacentral:SRP_RNA from 1 species